GAAUUUUAUAUAAAUUUAUUAUAAAUGGAUUAGUUGAAGAAUUAAUAAUUUUAUAUUUUAUUGGGAGGAUAGGUAAAUUAAAUAAACUUUAGUUAAUAAAUAGACCAUUAAUUUAUGAUUUAUUAGUAUUGAGUGAUUAAUGAUAAAUUUAAGAAGAAUUAAUUACCUUAGGGAUAACAGCAUUAUAUCUUUAGAGAGAUCAUAUUAAUAAAGAUGAUUGU
rnacentral:rRNA from 1 species